UCACGUUUUAGCUAACACUUGUGUCGCUAUCGCCUUCGCUGUCGCUAUUGCUGCUCUCGUACCGUACCGCCAACGGAUCGCUUCUCUAUUACUAUACCGGGGCUUGUUAGCUAGAAGUGUUGUAUUUUUGUUUUUAUUUUUAUUUAGGCAUCAUUAUGUCUUUGGCAGUGAAUUAUAAUUAUCGGCCUUUUGGAUGAAGCUUUCAGUCUUUUUUUGUUGUUCAACGUGUCGUUGUUUUUAAAAAUAAAUCAAGUUGGGAUCUAUUUUGGGGUUGUUGGGUGUCCAAUCGGAUUGGCUUUGCUUUGGGCGGGUUACGCAUCUUUUUUAAGAGUCUUCACGCCUCGCACGGAGCCGCACCGUUGCUGACAGAAAAUGAUGAAAGAAUUGGCUGAUUGUUUGGGGAUGUCGCGGUGUGACGAAAGCGGAGUUGAAGCAGCAUCAACAGAAACAACCGAUUCACCAUAUGAAGAUGACGAUUGUCUCAAAGUACGAAAAUACUGGUGUUUCCUUUUGUCCAGCAUCUUCACAUUUCUCGCUGGAUUAUUGGUUGUAUUGUUAUGGCGGGCGUGUGCGUUCAUAUGCUGCCGCAAGGAGCCCGAACUUGGACCAAACGAUCCAAAACAGAAAGAACAAAAGGCAUCCAGAAACAAACAAGAGUUCGAAGGAACUUUUAUGACAGAAGCAAAAGACUGGGCUGGUGAACUUAUAUCCGGUCAAACAACAACUGGUCGAAUUUUGGUGGUUCUCGUGUUUAUUCUCAGCAUUGCAUCACUUAUCAUAUAUUUUAUUGACGCAUCUAGCGAGGAAGUUGAGAGAUGUCAAAAGUGGAGUAAUAACAUUACGCAACAAAUCGAUCUCGCAUUCAAUAUAUUUUUUAUGGUUUACUUUUUUAUACGAUUCAUAGCGGCGUCCGAUAAACUUUGGUUUAUGUUAGAAAUGUACAGUUUUGUAGAUUAUUUUACAAUACCCCCGUCCUUUGUAUCAAUAUAUUUAGAUCGGACAUGGAUCGGUCUCCGAUUUCUUCGUGCGCUUCGUCUUAUGACUGUCCCAGAUAUUUUACAAUAUUUAAAUAUACUAAAAACAUCGAGCUCUAUACGAUUGGCUCAGUUAGUAUCAAUUUUUAUAUCAGUAUGGUUAACAGCAGCGGGCAUAAUACACUUGCUGGAAAACUCUGGCGAUCCGCUAGAUUUUAAAAAUCCUCAUCAAUUAUCCUAUUGGACCUGUGUCUAUUUCCUAAUUGUGACCAUGUCGACGGUAGGAUAUGGUGACGUUUACUGUGAGACUGUUUUAGGAAGAACGUUUUUGGUGUUCUUUCUACUCGUCGGCUUGGCUGUGUUCGCUAGUUGGAUUCCAGAAAUCACUGAACUGGCUGCCCAAAGAAGCAAAUAUGGUGGGACGUAUAGCAAGGAUCCUAGAAAAAGACACAUUGUGGUAUGUGGUCAUAUAACGUACGAAUCGGUGUCACAUUUUCUAAAGGAUUUUCUACACGAAGACAGAGAAGAUGUGGACGUUGAAGUAGUAUUUUUACAUCGAAAACCACCCGAUCUGGAAUUGGAGGGUUUGUUUAAACGACAUUUUACCACAGUGGAAUUCUUCCAAGGAACAAUUAUGAAUCCGAUUGAUCUACAGAGGGUGAAGGUUCACGAAGCUGAUGCCUGCUUGGUUCUAGCAAACAAAUAUUGCCAAGAUCCAGACGCCGAAGAUGCUGCCAAUAUUAUGAGAGUUAUCUCAAUUAAAAAUUACAGUGAUGAUAUUAGGGUUAUUAUUCAAUUGAUGCAAUACCAUAAUAAGGCAUAUUUACUAAAUAUUCCUUCUUGGGAUUGGAAACAAGGAGACGAUGUCAUUUGUUUAGCUGAAUUAAAACUUGGCUUUAUAGCGCAAAGUUGUCUGGCACCAGGUUUUUCAACGAUGAUGGCGAAUCUUUUCGCUAUGCGAUCGUUUAAAACAUCAGCAGAUAUGCAAUCGUGGACAAACGAUUAUCUACGCGGAACUGGAAUGGAAAUGUAUACUGAAACAUUGAGUCCUACUUUUAUCGGAAUACCAUUUGCUCAGGCUACUGAGCUCUGCUUCACAAAACUAAAACUCUUGCUGUUAGCAAUCGAAAUCAAAGGUGCUGAAGAAGGUGCAGAUAGUAAAAUAUCUAUUAAUCCUCGUGGUGCAAAAAUCCAGGCGAAUACUCAAGGAUUUUUCAUCGCCCAGAGUGCCGAUGAAGUGAAAAGAGCUUGGUUUUACUGUAAAGCUUGUCACGAAGACAUAAAAGACGAAACCCUAAUUAAAAAGUGUAAAUGUAAAAACUUGGCUACCUUCAGGAAAGGCGUCCGUGCCGUACAAAUGGUAGGACGUGCAAAUGAUGAAUACUCUCUGACAAAUGACCAUCAUCCCGCACCUACAUUUACUCCUCCAGAACUACCCAAAAGGGUGCAUGUGCGUGGAUCAUCAUCGGGUGACAUUACAAGAGAUCGGGAAGAUAUGAGUCUUAUAAAUCGAAACGGGCGUCGACCAAAUGGUACAAAUAAUGGUGGAUCAACGUUACAAAUAAAUUCUACCACAAAACAGGUGAACAAGGUGAAACCAACAGUGAAUCGAGGUCAAAUCGAAGGCACACUUAUGUCACCAUCAACAUACAACAGGCCUUCAGAAACCGAUGCUAAUCCUUAUGCGGGCUAUCAACUUGCUUACGAAGUUAAAAAGCUCAUGCCGACUAGUCGUAGCUCGGGUACUGCACAAAAUCAGCCAGGUAGUGUUACACUGCCGGCUGGUAUUGCUGAUGAUCAAUCGAAGGACUUCGACUUCGAGAAGACCGAGAUGAAGUACGACUCGACUGGGAUGUUCCAUUGGAGUCCGGCGAGAAACCUAGAAGACUGUAUAUUGGAUCGAAAUCAAGCGGCAAUGACGGUCCUUAAUGGUCACGUAGUAGUUUGUUUGUUCGCUGAUCCAGAUUCACCAUUGAUAGGACUGCGUAACUUGGUUAUGCCAUUGCGUGCGUCAAAUUUUCACUAUCACGAACUGAAGCAUGUGGUGAUAGUUGGUUCAGUUGAUUAUAUUCGAAGAGAAUGGAAGAUGUUACAGAAUCUACCAAAAAUAUCAGUUCUUAAUGGAUCGCCAUUGAGUAGAGCUGAUUUGAGAGCUGUCAAUGUGAACCUAUGUGAUAUGUGUUGUAUUCUAUCGGCCAAAGUUCCUAGCAAUGAUGAUCCAACGUUAGCCGAUAAGGAAGCAAUUUUAGCGUCAUUAAAUAUAAAAGCGAUGACAUUCGAUGACACAAUCGGUGUAUUGAGUCAACGUGGUCCAGAAUUUGAUAAUCUAUCGGCAACAGCCGGAAGUCCGAUAGUAUUGCAGCGAAGGGGUUCUGUUUAUGGUGCAAACGUUCCAAUGAUAACAGAACUGGUUAAUGAUAGUAACGUGCAGUUUCUCGAUCAAGACGAUGACGAUGAUCCCGAUACAGAACUUUAUUUAACACAACCGUUCGCUUGCGGUACUGCGUUCGCUGUUAGUGUAUUAGAUUCAUUGAUGUCAACGACAUAUUUCAAUCAAAACGCCUUAACAUUGAUAAGAUCGCUCAUAACGGGUGGCGCUACACCAGAACUGGAGUUGAUCCUGGCUGAGGGUGCUGGUCUCAGAGGUGGAUACAGUACGGCCGAAAGUUUAAGUAAUCGCGAUAGGUGCCGAGUGGGUCAGAUUUCAUUAUACGAUGGGCCAUUAGCUCAAUUCGGAGAAUGUGGCAAAUAUGGAGAUCUUUUUGUGGCUGCUCUGAAAUCCUAUGGCAUGCUAUGUAUUGGUCUUUAUAGAUUUCGAGAUACAAGUUCGAGUUGUGAUGCGAGUAGUAAACGUUAUGUUAUAACAAACCCACCCGAUGACUUUUCCUUACUGCCAACCGAUCAGGUAUUCGUUCUAAUGCAAUUCGAUCCUGGCUUAGAAUAUAAGCCACCAGCCGUACGAGCACCAGUUGGGGGACGGAGUGCAAACACACAAGGCUCAGGGUAUUUUCACAAAUUAUGAACAAAAAUCUUCAGUUUAUUGAGUAACAUUUCAAAAAUGGCUUUUUAAUUUAAUUUUACCCUUAAGUUUAUUUUUUAAUCAUCUACAGUUUUUCUCAUCUUAAUGGUGUGACGUAAGCAAUUGGGAACCAUUAGUAAGGUAAGCUACACAUUAAAUACAAUUUUUAAGGAAACAAAUUAAAAAUUAAAACAAAAAACAAAACAAUUUAGUAAUAAAAUUUUAUAUAAAAAGAAAACAAAAUAAUAACUAUCCAAGUUAAACACACAAAAAAACCAUUCACACAAAGUAUUUCAAAAUACACAAAAACGAAAUCCAAAUACGAACAUUUUUCUCUGACAAAAACUGCUUUGAUACUAAACCAAAACAAAAAAUCUAGUCUCUACUCUAGCAACGGCAUUUCUUAGAAGUAGCUCUUAAUAAAAAUAAGUUUAUAUAUAAAAUUAUAAAAAAAAAAACAAAAAAUAUUUAAACAAAAAAAAAUAAAAUAAAUAGAAAAACAUAACUAAUGAGUGGAAAAAACAGGCCGUAAAAAAUAAAUUGCGUCUAAUUUUUAAAAAUUUAAUACUCGAAAUUUAAUGCUUUCUUCUAGAACAAAUUUAAACAAAAAGAAUCGGAUUUACAACACAAAAAAGAAUAACAAAAAUUAAAUGAAAAUAACUUCUAAAAAUAAAAAUAUUAUUUACAAAAAAAUCUCCAUUGUAUAUUACAAUCCCUAAAAACAAAAACAACGUGAAUAAAUAAUAUAUAGAAGUACAUGGGAAUAUCUUAACACAAAUUCAUCAUUUUUUGAUCAUCGCCAUAAAAUAUGGAAAAAUGUUUUUAAAAAAUAGAUAUUUCAAAGUCAAACAAUCAAUUCUUCGUUUAUUUUUUUUAUAAAUAUGAAAUCUUAAUGAACAAUUGUUUAUCUAAGAUUCUUUAUAAAAAUAAAAAGGUAGACAAAUUUAAGAAAAUACCGACAACAGUUUAAAAAAUAAAAAAAAUGUAGAAAACAACAUCUUACCUACCUAAACAAAAUAAAAGAAUCAAACUCAAACAUUUCUCUUUUUAAGAUAUUUUUUUAUUUAUAUAAAAUACAAACAAAAAAUUUUAACUAACAAUAUUAUACUUUUACUAAAUAAGACUUAAAUAAAAUAACUGACACAGUAAUAAUAGAAAUAUUAAUAAUUAUAUUUGUUCCAAAAACUUGUUCGUAAAUUUGUUUUAAUAUUAUUCAUUGUUAAAAUGUAAAUAAUUUUUAAUGCUGUUAAAUUUUUUUAAAAAAUGCUUUAAUAACUUUUUUUAUAAAGAAAAAAACAAAAAAUGAGAUGUUAGUAAGUUAGGUUUUAUAUAAUUUUAAAAUUUGUUUAAUAUCUUCUUUUUUAGUUAAUUUUUUUUUCAUUUUGUGUGUUUUUACUUUGAUGUGGUAGAAAUAGAAAUUUUUGUUUAUUUCAAAGAUUUGUGAAAAUUUGAACGAUUGUUGAGGUUUAGUUUUAAAUUUGAAUGAAAUAUGGAAAAGCAAUUUAUUAGUAUUAUUUAUGUAGGUGAAUAGAUUUAUAAAGGGAUCAAUAAUAAUAACCUAUUUCAAUACUUGAUAAAACAUUUACUCUCCAAAAAUAUCUACUACAAACCUUAAUUCUUAAAAUUUUAUUUAAUUACUUCAAUUACAACGUUAAGUUCAACAUAAGCAUUUUGAAUACACACCUAAACAUCAAGACAUAUUUUACAACUACGUCAUGGCCUUCAUGUUUCAUGGGUGCUAACUCAUAAACUAAACUGAGACAAACCUUUAAUUGCAACAUGGCAAAACUUAAUUAUCUUUUCUUUCGUUUUCUCUUGCAAAAUAAGCCCAGUUAGUCCAUUUUCAUUCAAAAAAGUAAAUAAUAUCUACAGUAAAAGAUUGAUUUGUUUCCCCAAUGGAAAACACAUACAUAAUUCCAAAUGCACAACCACCACGUACCAACAUUUAAAAACAAAAUCACAUAAGAUCCAUUCGAGACUCGUAUAACUGUCAAAAACCUAUCCAUAGUAAGAUUCUACUCUAACUUUUAUCGGUGUUAUUCAUAUUAUGGACAUUGUUUUUGUUAUCAGUGUAAGAUCCUACAAUACUAUGGAUAGAUCUCCCAACAAAACACGGGGAUUGUAAAAAACGAGUCUUUUCUAAAAGAAAUCGAUAAAUGAAACAUUUUUAACUACCUGCCCCAAGACUAAAUUUGUUAAUGUCUUGAGCCCAUUAGGAAGCAUCAACAAAGACCUUAUCUUUCACUAAACCUCAAAGUUAAAAGUCUUGAAGUGUUUAAUCAAAAAAAAAACAUUCGUGACCAAUUGUGAGGAAUAGUACGUACGAAUCACAACGACAGUUGCUCACAAAUUUAACACGUUGAGAAUGAAACGGCUUUUUAACAAUAAUUUUGGAAUUUUUAUUAUUAAACAAUAAUGAGCUCCAUCAUGAAAAUCCGGAUCAUUUUAAUUCAUUUUUCAACUAAUAAGUGAUCUUACUGGCAAUAAAAUUGCGCUUUUCCAAAGGGGUUUUGGUGACCUUAAUUCAAAUUGAGACAUUACUUUUUAAAGUUGAAAAAGGUGAUGAUUUUCCAAAUCCUUAAUCCCUUUCUUCAAUAUUCAGUUGAAAUGUAAAACAAUUUAAGCUAACAUGAUUUCCGACAGAAAAAAGCAAAAGUAAGUUUUGCUCUGGUUACGAAUCUGUAGGCUAAACUGAUACAUUGCCAACCACUAGGUUUAGGCCAGAAAUUUUGAAACCGAUUUUUGCUUAUAAUAUCUGGUGGAAGUGUUGUACACGAAAACUUUUAGUACCUCUAAAUGGGUACAUAAAUUGGAAACGGGCGUUGGUAUUUCCCAAGAACAAAACAACUACUUUAAAAUUGUAUAUAAAAGUACUUCACUAGGAUGAGGCCCACAUGCAAUAUUUCAGAAAAAGAAAAAAAAAUAUUUAUAAAGUAUUUGCAUUAUAUAUUUUAACAACAUUUACUUGUAAUGUUUUUUAACAAUACUUAUGACUAUGUUCACCAUUUUGGAAUAAAACCUCUAUAAGACGGUUUAGAAUAGAAACAUUCAAUUUGUUUUAUCUACUGUUAUAAAAAUAAGUCGGCUUUUCCUUCCUAACGCUAUAACUCCAGAAUGCACGAACCGAUUUCCACGGUUUUGAAUUCGUUGGAAAGGUCUCAGGCUGAGGUUUAUAGCAGAUAUAAUUCAGGAAACAAUUCAACAGCAAAGCGGUGAACUUCGUUUAGCUUCCCAUAGGAAGCUAUUGUAAAAGUUCCGAUUUGUGGAAUUGAAUUUUUUUUAAUUUUUUGACGUUUCAAGGCCCCUAUAUAUUCUAAACCAAAGCUUACUUUUGGUAACCUUUUUUAAUCACCCAUAUCUCUAGAAACGUCAGAGAUAUCUUUUUCAAAUAACGUAUCUACAAUGAAUGAAUGAUUCUGAUUGAGGAUCAAUGCUUGACUAUUGCAAACUGAUUAAAGUAGGAAUGAUUGCACCAAAUCGAUCGAUACAUAAUGCAUUGAACCAAUAAUUAAAUCGAGAGCUGCAAUACAAUAUUGAUACAUUGCAGGAAUUCAUUCAAAAUAAUGUGCCGUAUACUAAACAUUAAUGGAAGCGGUGGACAAUAAUACUGGUGGUCUAUUCUUCCUGGAGGAACAGGGAAAACAUUUGUCAGUUCAUUGAUUUUGGCCAAUAUUCGAUCAAGAUGUGAGAUAGCUUUGGCUUUAGCAUCAUCUGGAAUUGCGGCAACUCUUCUAGAUGGCGGUCACUCAAUUUAAACACAUUUGAUACUUCAACAUGCCAUAUUUCCCGAUCCAGUACAAUAGGAAAAUUGUUGAUGGAAUGCCAGCUCAUUGUUAUAAGAAAUCACUUGAAGCACUUAACUUCACACUGAAGUUUCUUCGACGAAGCGACUUGAUAAUAUUGUUGGCAGACGGUUUCAGGGAGACGUUGCCAGUAAUUUCCCGUGGAACGCCUGCAGAUAAAUUGAAUGCUUGCCUGAAAGCAUCACUAUUGUGUAAUAACGUAAAAACAUUAUCGCUAACCAUUAAUAUGGGUGUUUAACUUCAAAAUAAUCAAAGUGCUGCACAAUUUUCCAAACAAUUGUUAGCUGUUGGAAAUGGAAAAGUGCAAGUUGAUGCGAAAACUGGAUUAAUUACUCUUACCAACGACUUUUUCCGAUUUGUAGACUCUCAAUUAGCUCUUAUUGAAAAUGUUUUCCCAAACAUUCGUGAGAAUUAUCAGAAUUAAGUUAAGUUAACGAGCAAUUCUCGCGUCAAGGAAUAAUGAUGUACACGCUCUAAAUUUCCCCAUUCGCUUGCUAUUUGGUGACAUACAAAUCCGUUGAUUCUAUAAGAAAUCCCGAUAAUGUCGUAAAUUAUCCAACGGAGUUUUUGAACUCUCUGGAGUUACCAGGAUUUCCACCACAUAACUUGCAACUCAAAGUUUUUUUCAGUUAUUAUGAUAUUGCGUAAUUUGAAUCCACGUAGGCUUUGCAACGGUACUCGACUUGCUGUAAAAAGACUUAUGCCGAAUUUUAUUGAGGCAACCAUUAUUAACGGAAAGUACGCAGGUGAAAAUGUAUGUAUUCCUCGAAUAUCAAUGAUUCCGACUGAUCUUCCGUUUGACUUCAAACGAUUAUAAUUUCCGGUUUGCCUUGCGUUCGCAAUGACAAUUUACAAGUCGCAAGGCCAAUCGCUUAGUGUUUGCGGGAUAAAUUUAGAAAAUCAUUGUUUCUUACAUGUGUUCACGUUAGACGAAAAAACAAAAAAAGUUGCUUACCAAAGAGCACUUCCAUCGAAAUGGAGUUCACCGGGUUUUUUAGUAUUUUAUGAUAUUUAUAUUUAUAUUAAUUCCAAAAUCAUAAACUUUAUGAAAAUGUCAUGCAAUAAGUUAAAGUGCGGUGAAUAUAGGGGCCAUGGCAAAAGUUCAACGUCUUCUAAUUGAAUUUAACUACUAACAACCCUUUAAGUGCGAAUGAUGACAUUGUCUUUUUUGGAAAAUCCAAGGCAGAGGUUCAAAAAUGCUUUUCAUUUUUAAAAAUGACCGUUCCAGAAAACAUUAAAAGUUGUUCCCGUUCAUUAUUGUCUACAAAAACCACAAGUCGAUUGUGCCAUAGUAGGUUAUACCUCCUACCACUGUUCCACCUAAUGUACGGCUAUGAUGUCUUUCUAAAAUAAGCUCAUUUUUUCUAGAGCAAUGGAAAUACAAGUUGUAACUAACGGCCGUCAAGAUUUAAGUUUUUAUCACCCGGAAGGACCUAUUUCAGGUACUACAAGUAUUUACAGGUAGUAAAAGUUUCCGGGUACAACACUUGCACAGCAGCUAUAAAAAGUGGUUGGCAGUGUUUUUUAAAAAUUUUAAAAUCUUGUUGAAAAAGGGUACUUCUUAAAUUCUAAAAUCUACACAAAAAAUUAUUUCCAGAUCGUGUUUUUCAAAAUAUGAAAGUAAUAGAUUUAAGGUUUUCUCAAAACUUUAUAUAUGUAGAAUCAAAUACCUAAAGACUCAGAACUAAUAACAUUUUUCAGAAAUUAAAUAAGAUUCGAAAAUGAUUUAAAUUGUAUCUUGAAGAGAAUGAUUUGUGAUUUUGCAAAAUCUUCAUGCAAUUUAUUUUUACGAGAUAUUUUAAGCUUUGGCUUUAAAAACACCGGUUUUUGGUUGCCACCAGCGUUUUCAAAGGGGUGUAUUCUAUUACGGUAAUAAGUGACAAUCACACAGCUUUCCGUCUUUGUGAAAUGAGUCAAGCCAAGUCAUUUCGAUUGAAAGAUUUCAAAUAUUUCUAUAAAAUAUCGAAUUAACUGUGUUUUAAUAACAUUCUUACUUUUCUUGUUUUGUUCGAUUGUCGGAAGCUCUGUAGGUCAUAAGAAUGCUUUUUAACUUAACUUUUUAAGGCUGCUGAGAAAGUGUUCCAAUCGUAAGUUUAGGCGUCUGAUAGCUCUAUUGAGAAACUUGUUUAAAAAUGACUAUCACAUUAUUUUUGUGACAGCUUAAUCAACUUACAUAGAUGAAAACCUUUCUUUUUGAUCGUCGUAUGUGAAACAUUUAUCGUGCAAUUUGCAAUAAUAUCCUUUUUACCCGUAUCUUUUAAAAUAAUUUAGCUUGAAAAGUCAAGCGGUAUAUUCAAAAUUAAAUCUUUUAUUGAAAACCCUAAUCGUAGAGUAUAUACGUUCAAUGUCAACAUUUGAUGUGGGUGAUAAAAGAAUCUAUGAAAAAUAGAAGAAAGUCUUUAAAAACUAUAAUUUUUAUUAUAUCGUCAUAUUUAAAAUCAAAUAAAGUACAAAAUACCAUAGAUUUUAAUGUUUCAAGAACUUUUAAGAAUUUGUAUCAUUUCUUUUCUUCUUUUAUUUUAUUAAAACAAAAAGUUUCUUAUACUUUUCCUGUAAAUGACAAAAACAAAAUAGAAAAUACUUUCAAUACACUGCCACACAUAAAUUGUUCAAACUCCACUUAGCCAAAGUUAAGAAGAAAAAAAAAUAAACAAAAAUUAACAUAUCGGUCCAUUAAAACACAAAA